GGUUUGCACUUUGCGGGAAGGGUGAGAACCUUCGAUUAAGGUUCGGCUCGAGCGAAAGCGAGAGAACGUUGCCGCAGGCAACGGCCCGAAGGGUGAGGAGCGAAGCGACGAAUAAUCCUUCCCCCACCACCA
rnacentral:sRNA from 1 species